rnacentral:sRNA from 1 species
UUUUCAUCUUCAAAUCUGCACCUCCCUUUCCAUAUAAGACGCAAGCAUAGUUAGUACUUGCAUGUGCUGUUUUACGUAAUUAUCUUCGUAAAGAAUAUCGUUCGGACGUGUUUCUUCCUGAAGAAGGUGUUCUCGAAGAAAAUGACAUUAAUGAAAGCGGCGAUGAUGAAAAUAAUGCGUAUGAAGAGGCUCAAGGUAUUCAAGAACAACAAAGAGUACUUGCUAAUAAUUGGAGAGCAACAAUAGCAGAAAACAUGUGGACAUCUGUUAUGAAUAUAGAAUC